GACGAACGCUGGCGGCGUGCUUAACACAUGCAAGUCGAACGGAAAGGCCCAGCUUGCUGGGUACUCGAGUGGCGAACGGGUGAGUCACACGUGGGUGAUCUGCCCUGAACUUCGGGAUAAGCCUGGGAAACUGGGUCUAAUACCGGAUAUGACCAUUGGUUGCAUGACUUUUGGUGGAAAGCUUUUGCGGUUCAGGAUGGGCCCGCGGCCUAUCAGCUUGUUGGUGAGGUAACGGCUACUCAAGGCGACGACGGGUAGCCGACCUGAGAGGGUGAUCGGCCACACGGGGACUGAGACACGGCCCAGACUCCUGCGGGAGGCAGCAGUGGGGAAUAUUGCACAUGGGCGCAAGCCUGAUGCAGCGACGCCGCGUGGGGGAUGACGGCCUUCGGGUUGUAAACCUCUUUCGGCAGGGACGAAGCGCAAGUGACGGUACCUGCAGAAGAAGCACCGGCCAACUACGUGCCAGCAGCCGCCGUAAUAC
rnacentral:rRNA from 1 species